rnacentral:lncRNA from 1 species
AACAACUACUGCUUUACUAGUUUCAGACUAAGUUCUCUGAGGAUUUGUCAAUCUAAUUGCCAGAAGCAAUUGUCUGUCUAGCCCAUAAAGAUAAAUCUGUGCCCUCUGUUACAAAAUUAUCAUUAGGAACCUUUGGAUCCAGCAAUACCCUAAUGUUGACUUGCAGAGCAGAGCCUCAGGGCUGGCAUUUGUGUCUUCAUGGGUAAUCCUUUAACCACUGGGAACAGUGACCAGAAAUCAAUUAUUGACUGCAGGUUUAAAUAUAUGCUGCCAAAUUCCUUUAUUGAAUAAGGAAUCCAUAAGACUAUAUAAGCUGUAGUUUCCUUUUUGGCUAAACAAAAGUAAUACCACUAAUCCACAAACUCUGCAUCAUGUAAACUUGAUAAUAGUAAGAUGCUGUUUAUUUGAACUGAACUGAAUGCUUUGCCCUUAGGAACGGAACUCUGUAACAGAAAUAUCUACCUUUAGAAAGUUGUGCUAGAUUUUUUGUUGUUUGAAAAACGUUCUUUCAGACAGUACAUCAAAAUAAGGAUUUCUCUUUCAUUUCUUUCUGAAAAGAAAUUCUGCCAGGUGUCAGCAGUGGUGGAAACUAUGAAUCCGGUAUAUGCAUAAAAUGAGCAAUAUCAGCCCUGGCACUGAGUACUGGCAAAGAUGCUCAGAUGUGUUUUGAAAGGGCCACCUCCAGGAGCAAAGACAAGUUCAAAAACACAGCUCAUAUAAUAUUUUCCAGAGUUUGCUGUGAGUGUUGACAAUUUUUCAUACUUGCAGGACUCGUUCCAUCAAGCCAUAAAAGGAAAUAUCACCAACACAAAUGCCAGAAUAGUCGGUGUGUUUGGAUCCAGAUCUCCUCGGCCUAGCUUCCUAAGAAUCCAAGCUCAUGGACCUGCCUCAGUAAGUGUAACCCAUCCAGACUAUCCUGUCCUUAAGGGGUUAUCCAACAUCAUACAUAUGAGUAUGGUUAUGGUAUAUAAGGAGAAAUUCUUCCAGUUCUGCAAGGCACAUAAACAGGGUCUUUCCUUUUUCCCUGUGCUUUGUGCUCUUGUGCACAACAUAAGGGUCCAAAAGAAACAGACAAACCAUUAUAUCCGAGAUGGCAGUAUUUUAAGGUGAAAUAUUUAGAAAGAUAUUCAAACUGGGGCAUUUUCCCUUUUCCAUCAUUUAUUCUAAGUGUAAAGAUAAAUUUUAGAAAUAUACAUAUAAAACAUUUAAAUAUCAUAUUUAUUUAUUUAAAGCAUCUUAAAGUGUUUAUAAAUUUUAGAUAUGUGCUUAUCACAAUUGAAACUGUUCAUAAAAACUCCACUGGCUUCAAGGGUAGGGAUUAAUCUAAACACAUACUUACUAAUUACAGGAAAAAUACCUACUCAGAAUUUUAGGUUAACAGACUUCUUUGCUUUUGGUAGUUUGGUUUAACUUUAAUGUAAGUUUGGUUUAACUUUAAUGUAAUGGAAGCCUAAAUAUAAUUUUGGCACAAAAUAAGACAGACAUGUCUUAAUUGUAAAGGAAGACAUGCAGUUUAUAUUUUCAGUAAAAGCCAGAUUGUAUUUCUUUAAAGGUGGAAUGUAUAUCUUCUUAUAUUCAUGGUUUAUAGUAUUUAUGAAAGAUGCUUUUGUUAGCUCUUUCUCUUGGAAAGAGAUUUGUCCUGUCCCCCCUCAUUUUCUGCUUCUUGCUUUAAUAAUACUAGUGGACUAGUAAUGGAUUCCAGAAAAUAAAACUUUAGUCAUUAAGAAAAAAUUAAAAUUU